UGCCUGAGUUACACUAAUUGAAUAUUUCUGAAAUAUCAACAGAAUCAAACCGAUAUAACCUUUGACUGUCAAGCAAUUAACACAGAAAACCUUUUACAGGCUUAUCCACUGAUGAGAACUGUUAUACCUCUGGGCUUUAUAUACAUUGAGAGAGGCCUGUCGUGUGAAACGUCCUAUGUGAUAAUAUAAAUACAGCUGCAGACUGAUAAAACAGUACCAUUUGAAUCUAGAGCUCCAUCAAAGACAUCCUAAGUAGACUCGUCCGUUAAACGUCCAACAAACUUGUUGUUAUUCCUUACAGAUAUUUUCUUUCAAGAUACCCGUACAUAUCGUUCACAGCAUGAAGACUAGUGGUUCAGCAGUUUUAUUCCUUCUCGUUCUGGCUGCUUUGGGUAGUUUCGACUCGAUAGUAUUAGGAGAAGAAACCAGCAGAUCCUUGAAUUGUCGCUUUGGCUGCAUGCCUCCGGGGAAAAGGGACAAUAUAUUAAAAGAAAAGCUGAAUUUGCUGAGAACCAAGUACGCCAAAAGAAAGCCAAUCUACAACAUGGGGGAGUAUGAUCAGCACUAACAGACCAAUAAAUCAGUAUCUCUUGGCCAUGUUCUGGCACUUUGAAGUAUUUACAACUUGAAGUUAUACAUAAUAAAACAUCUAUUGAGAUUUGUUGUGAGAAUAUUUAAAUGAUCUACAUCUGUCUAUUAAAUGUAGAUGUCAAAGCUAUACUUAUAUACACUAGAAAAUGUAACGAUCAUUUGAAUGGUAAAUUGUAAUAAAAGACGCUGGAUUAAGGAUCAUGAAAAAGUGCACGGUUUUUCUUAAGGCACUGCACCUGCUGCUUCUAAAGCUUAUGUCUGGCUAUUGCCUAAUCAGGAAGGUCUGCCAUGAGGCUGAUUGUCAUGUUAUCAGGGAUAGGGAUCCUGACGGAUACAAGACUCAUUUAUAUAACCUUUAUCACAUGAGGCCUAUAAUCUUACACAUUUCUUGGAAAAUUCAUGCUUCUUUUGAUCUUCAUCGACCUCGUCUGAUCUCACAAGCACAGGUGUUUUUCUGAGUAAUAUUGAUUGA